GGUUAAUAUAGAUGUUAAUACGGCUUGCCAUACACACGCUCAGUAUAGCUGUAGAAUCUAGAUGCACACGAUUCAUUUUCAUGUUCGUUUUAACAUUUAAUCAGCCGUAGUUUAGUGUCGAAAUGUAUUUAGCUUAUAAAGCAACUAACAUAACCUCGUACAUUUGCCUAAAACUCUUAUUGACGUGCACGCGAUUCUAAUGCUAACGCUCGCUGUUUGAAACACACAGACGGGCAGAGCUACAGUUAAACCGUGCUCUGUUGGCCGUGUAAGGAUAUUGUGCGUGGGUUCUGGUUGCUAGCCGGUUUGAGGGUGCAUUUUGUCUCGACCAAUCCAGCGCUGUGCUCUAGGUCCCGGCAUGCCCAAUGCGGGCAGGGGGAGGCUCCGGCCAAUUUGAAUGAAGACUGGAGCUUUCGGCGCCAUUUUCGAGUGAGCAGCUACAGCAACAACAGCUGCCUGGAGAGGCUCCGUACUGUAGUCCAGUAAUUUGAGCGAGGGAAUGCUUCUCUUUUUUGUUUCCAGGGAACAACGAGAGAUUUUUUUCCUGAAAUCGAGCACAAAAUCGAGGCAGUAGUUUCCUGGUGGAUGAAUGCUGCAGACGCAAAAGACGAUGUCUAAUGACAACAAAUAGUGAAGUGGAGACUGAAGUGAGCUAGCAGGCUAAUGCGGCUAGCAUCUCAAGCCGAGAGGGGCGUCCGAAUGGAGGCGCGCUGUGGAAACGAGAUAUUUUUGUAUUAUUUUUUGAAAAAAUCCUGCAAAAACACGGAUGCCGGGAAAAUUCUAUAAAAAAUCCGGAAAAUUGUCGCAGGCGACGACGUAUGGGUUGAUGUGGGUCGUUUGAUUGAGCGAGGUGGUUUUGUGCAUUUUUUAAACGUUAAGUUUGAGCGGGAUUGGUGAUGUGCGCGAGACGGCCGGCGAGCCCGAGAGCCUAUCAGAGAGCAAUACACCGGGAUGCCACACCGACCAACACUGCCCUAUUCUUUACUAGUUUUUUUGUUACUCUUUUGGUGAAAUAAAAAAGCAACGAUGACCAGACUGCCUUUUCUUAUUUUCUCCGUUUUUUUUCUUGAACUAUAAAUACACACACAGUGCGCUCUCAGAAUGCUCAGUUGCCAACUUUUUUUCGUUUUGUCUUUUUGGACGGAUUAACAAAUAUGACUGCUCAGGCCUUUUAGAUAGAGUCCUGGAAUGCCUGAAGCCCUGCUGAGAGAAAGAGAGAGAGAAAGGAGGAGAGGACGGAGUCACUGGCUCUGUGGUUCUGCCGGUGCUCGGUCAUGUAGCCGAGGCUCUCUAGGUGAUGGUGUAGCAGCACAGAAUGGUUUGUGGUGAUACAGAGAUGCAGGCCAUGAUGUGCUGCAGCAUCAAUUCCUGGGACCUACGCAGUUGAGAGAACGACAAGUGAGAGAGGUUGUGUGUGUGUGCGUGUGUUGUCUUGCUUUAGCAGCAUGUAAAUAUUGGAGUUACUCCUUGGCCAAUGCCUCCAAUAUUGCUCGUGCUGCUGAAGCAAGAAGUCACCAAGCAGCACAUGCACGUCAUCCUUUUUUUAUAUUUAUCACAGCUACCAGGGCCUAGUCGGUGCAGGUAGAGACUGAUUCACUGCUACUUAAAUGGACUCCUUAAUCCAACAUAGGGAAGUCAGGAGGACAACAAACUCAGUGGUCAAAG
rnacentral:lncRNA from 1 species